GAUGAACGCUGGCGGCGUGCCUAAUACAUGCAAGUCGAGCGAACAGAUGAGGAGCUUGCUCCUCUGACGUUAGCGGCGGACGGGUGAGUAACACGUGGAUAACCUACCUAUAAGACUGGGAUAACUUCGGGAAACCGGAGCUAAUACCGGAUAAUAUAUUGAACCGCAUGGUUCAAUAGUGAAAGACGGUUUUGCUGUCACUUAUAGAUGGAUCCGCGCCGCAUUAGCUAGUUGGUGAGGUAACGGCUUACCAAGGCAACGAUGCGUGGCCGACCUGGGAGGGGGGUGGGCCACAACAGUAGGGGUAACACGGCCAGCAGCCUCCGGGGGGCGGCAGGAGGGGAGAAUACGGCACGGGGGGAAGACGGAAGGGGCAACGACGCGGGGGGGGUGAAGGUCUUCGGCUCGGUAAACUCUGCUUUUAGGGAAGAACAAAUGUGGCAGGAACUAUGGACGGCUUGACGGUACCUAAACAAGAAGCCACGGCUAACUACGUG
rnacentral:rRNA from 1 species